CUGGUGAUUGACAGUUGCAAAUUUAUAGAAUGGGAUGGAUUCCUUAAUAAGUAACAGUUGACGGCCCACUAGAGAAAUAUGAACAGAAAAACUACCCCUGGAAAAUGGCACAUUUGCAGUGUGGUUGCAUCAUGAAAAGAAGAGUGUCCAGGAAAUAAUGUUGUCCUGAGAAUACAGGCCAAGAUUCCUUUCUUGAAGAGUCUACUCAGCAGAAACAGUGCCACAUGCCAGGGGAAGGACUAACCAAAAUAUUUUGAGGGUUUUAAUGCUGGUGUUCAGGAACUAAGUCAUAUCUGGCUUAUGUAAAAGGAACUAUUGG